rnacentral:rRNA from 1 species
UGGGGAAUAUUGCACAAUGGGGGAAACCCUGAUGCAGCGACGCCGCGUGAGUGAAGAAGUAUUUCGGUAUGUAAAGCUCUUUUAGCAGGGAAAAUGAUGACGGUACCUGCAGAAAAAGCCCCGGCUAACUACGUGCCAGCAGCCGCGGUAAUACGUAGGGGGCAAGCGUUAUCCGGAUUUACUGGGUGUAAAGGGAGCGUAGACGGUAUGGCAAGCCCGAUGUGAAAACCCGCAGCUCAACUGCGGGAUUGCAUUAGGAACUGUCAAACUAGAGUGUCGGAGAGGUAAGUGGAAUUCCUAGUGUAGCGGUGAAAUGCGUAGAUAUUAGGAGGAACACCAGUGGCGAAGGCGGCUUACUGGACGAUGACUGACGUUGAGGCUCGAAAGCGUGGGGAGCAAACAG